GGCUUACCAUGCAAGUCGAGGGGCAGCAUGGUCUUAGCUUGCUAAGGCUGAUGGCGACCGGCGCACGGGUGAGUAACACGUAUCCAACCUGCCGUCUACUCUUGGCCAGCCUUCUGAAAGGAAGAUUAAUCCAGGAUGGCAUCAUGAGUUCACAUGUCCGCAUGAUUAAAGGUAUUUUCCGGUAGACGAUGGGGAUGCGUUCCAUUAGAUAGUAGGCGGGGUAACGGCCCACCUAGUCAACGAUGGAUAGGGGUUCUGAGAGGAAGGUCCCCCACAUUGGAACUGAGACACGGUCCAAACUCCUACGGGAGGCAGCAGUGAGGAAUAUUGGUCAAUGGGCGAUGGCCUGAACCAGCCAAGUAGCGUGAAGGAUGACUGCCCUAUGGGUUGUAAACUUCUUUUAUAAAGGAAUAAAGUCGGGUAUGCAUACCCGUUUGCAUGUACUUUAUGAAUAAGGAUCGGCUAACUCCGUGCCAGCAGCCGCGGUAAUACGGAGGAUCCGAGCGUUAUCCGGAUUUAUUGGGUUUAAAGGGAGCGUAGAUGGAUGUUUAAGUCAGUUGUGAAAGUUUGCGGCUCAACCGUAAAAUUGCAGUUGAUACUGGAUGUCUUGAGUGCAGUUGAGGCAGGCGGAAUUCGUGGUGUAGCGGUGAAAUGCUUAGAUAUCACGAAGAACUCCGAUUGCGAAGGCAGCCUGCUAAGCUGCAACUGACAUUGAGGCUCGAAAGUGUGGGUAUCAAACAGGAUUAGAUACCCUGGUAGUCCACACGGUAAACGAUGAAUACUCGCUGUUUGCGAUAUACGGCAAGCGGCCAAGCGAAAGCGUUAAGUAUUCCACCUGGGGAGUACGCCGGCAACGGUGAAACUCAAAGGAAUUGACGGGGGGCCCGCACAAGCGGAGGA
rnacentral:rRNA from 1 species